GCGAGUCGUUGUAGCAAUACAAGGCGGACGGCUCAGUAACACGUAGUCAACCUCACUUAUGGACGUGGAUAACCUCGGGAAACUGAGAAUAAACCGCGAUAGAUCAUAAUGCCUGGAAUGGCUUAUGGUCCAAACAGUUUACUGCCAUGGGAUGGGACUGCGGCCUAUCAGCUUGUUGGUGAGGUAAUGGCCCACCAAGGCGAUUACAGGUACGGGCUCUGAGAGGAGAAGCCCGGAGAUGGGUACUGAGACACGGACCCAGGCCCUAUGGGGCGCAGCAGGCGAGAAACCUUAGCAAUGUGCGAAAGCACGACUGGGUCAGUCCGAGUGAUUCCUGAUAAAGGAGUCUUUUGCUUGUCCUAAAAGCACAGGUGAAUAAGGGGUGGGCAAGUCUGGUGUCAGCCGCCGCGGUAAUACCAGCACCUCGAGUGGUCAGGACGUUUAUUGGGCCUAAAGCAUCCGUAGCCGGUUCUGCAAGUCUUCGGUUAAAUCCACCUGCUCAACAGAUGGGCCGCUGGAGAUACUACAGAGCUAGGGAGUGGGAGAGGCAGACGGUAUUCAGUGGGUAGGGGUAAAAUCCUCUGAUCCAUUGAGGACCACCAGUGGCGAAGGCGGUCUGCCAGAACACGUUCGACGGUGAGGGAUGAAAGCUGGGGGAGCAAACCGGAUUAGAUACCCGGGUAGUCCCAGCUGUAAACGAUGCAAACUCGGUGAUGCAUUGGCUUAUGG
rnacentral:rRNA from 1 species